AUUGAACGCUGGCGGCAGGCCUAACACAUGCAAGUCGAGCGGAUGAGUGGAGCUUGCUCCAUGAUUCAGCGGCGGACGGGUGAGUAAUGCCUAGGAAUCUGCCUGGUAGUGGGGGACAACGUUUCGAAAGGAACGCUAAUACCGCAUACGUCCUACGGGAGAAAGCAGGGGAUCUUCGGACCUUGCGCUAAUAGAUGAGCCUAAGUCGGAUUAGCUAGUUGGUGGGGUAAAGGCCUACCAAGGCGACGAUCUGUAGCGGGUCUGAGAGGAUGAUCAGUCACACUGGAACUGAGACACGGUCCAGACUCCUACGGGAGGCAGCAGUGGGGAAUAUUGGACAAUGGGCGAAAGCCUGAUCCAGCCAUGCCGCGUGUGUGAAGAAGGUCUUCGGAUUGUAAAGCACUUUAAGUUGGGAGGAAGGGCAGUAAGUUAAUACCUUGCUGUUUUGACGUUACCGACAGAAUAAGCACCGGCUAACUCUGUGCCAGCCGCCGCCGUAAGAC
rnacentral:rRNA from 1 species